rnacentral:rRNA from 1 species
UACGUAGGGGGCAAGCGUUGUCCGGAUUUAUUGGGCGUAAGGAGCGUGUAGGCGGCCGUGUAGGUCCGUUGUGAAAACUCGAGGCUCAACCUCGAGACGUCGAUGGAAACCACACGGCUAGAGUCCGGAAGAGGAGAGUGGAAUUCCUGGUGUAGCGGUGAAAUGCGCAGAUAUCAGGAAGAACACCUAUGGCGAAGGCAGCUCUCUGGGACGGUACUGACGCUGAGACGCGAAAGCGUGGGGAGCGAACAGG